rnacentral:rRNA from 1 species
GACGAACGCUGGCGGCGUGCUUAACACAUGCAAGUCGAACGGAAAGGCCCUGCUUUUGUGGGGUGCUCGAGUGGCGAACGGGUGAGUAACACGUGAGUAACCUGCCCUUGACUUUGGGAUAACUUCAGGAAACUGGGGCUAAUACCGGAUAGGAGCUCCUGCUGCAUGGUGGGGGUUGGAAAGUUUCGGCGGUUGGGGAUGGACUCGCGGCUUAUCAGCUUGUUGGUGGGGUAGUGGCUUACCAAGGCUUUGACGGGUAGCCGGCCUGAGAGGGUGACCGGCCACAUUGGGACUGAGAUACGGCCCAGACUCCUACGGGAGGCAGCAGUGGGGAAUAUUGCACAAUGGGCGGAAGCCUGAUGCAGCAACGCCGCGUGCGGGAUGACGGCCUUCGGGUUGUAAACCGCUUUCGCCUGUGACGAAGCGUGAGUGACGGUAAUGGGUAAAGAAGCACCGGCUAACUACGUGCCAGCAGCCGCGGUGAUACGUAGGGUGCGAGCGUUGUCCGGAUUUAUUGGGCGUAAAGGGCUCGUAGGUGGUUGAUCGCGUCGGAAGUGUAAUCUUGGGGCUUAACCCUGAGCGUGCUUUCGAUACGGGUUGACUUGAGGAAGGUAGGGGAGAAUGGAAUUCCUGGUGGAGCGGUGGAAUGCGCAGAUAUCAGGAGGAACACCAGUGGCGAAGGCGGUUCUCUGGGCCUUUCCUGACGCUGAGGAGCGAAAGCGUGGGGAGCGAACAGGCUUAGAUACCCUGGUAGUCCACGCUGUAAACGGUGGGUACUAGGUGUGGGGUCCAUUCCACGGGUUCCGUGCCGUAGCUAACGCUUUAAGUACCCCGCCUGGGGAGUACGGCCGCAAGGCUAAAACUCAAAGGAAUUGACGGGGCCCCGCACAAGCGGCGGAGCAUGCGGAUUAAUUCGAUGCAACGCGUAGAACCUUACCUGGGUUUGACAUGGAUCGGGAGCGCUCAGAGAUGGGUGUGCCUCUUUUGGGGUCGUUUCACAGGUGGUGCAUGGCUGUCGUCAGCUCGUGUCGUGAGAUGUUGGGUUAAGUCCCGCAACGAGCGCAACCCUUGUUCACUGUUGCCAGCACGUUAUGGUGGGGACUCAGUGGAGACCGCCGGGGUCAACUCGGAGGAAGGUGGGGAUGACGUCAAGUCAUCAUGCCCCUUAUGUCCAGGGCUUCACGCAUGCUACAAUGGCUGGUACAGAGAGUGGCGAGCCUGUGAGGGUGAGCGAAUCUCGGAAAGCCGGUCUCAGUUCGGAUUGGGGUCUGCAACUCGACCUCAUGAAGUCGGAGUCGCUAGUAAUCGCAGAUCAGCAACGCUGCGGUGAAUACGUUCCCGGG